CCUACGGGGGGCUGCAGUGGGGAAUAUUGGACAAUGGGGGAAACCCUUAUCCAGCGACGCCGCGUGAGGGAAGAAGGUUUUCGGAUUGUAAACCUCUGUCAGUGGGGACGAUAAUGACGGUACCCACGGAGGAAGCCACGGCUAACUACGUGCCAGCAGCCGCGGUAAUACGUAGGUGGCAAGCGUUGUCCGGAUUUACUGGGUGUAAAGGGGGCGCAGACGGCCAUGGCAAGCCCGGUGUGAAAGGCAGGGGCAUAACCCCUGGACUGCACUGGGAACUGUCAGGCUGGAGUGCCGGAGGGGUAAACGGAAUUCCUGGUGUAGCGGUGAAAUGCGUAGAUAUCAGGAGGAACACCGGCGGCGAAGGCGGCUUACUGGACGGCAACUGACGUUGAGGCCCGAAAGCGUGGGGAGCGAACAGGAUUAGAUACCCCGGUAGUC
rnacentral:rRNA from 1 species